ACCCGCUUAAGCGAUAAACACAAUUAGCUAACUAACAUACAUGUUGGUUCGAUGAAUAGUCACUUAUCCGCAAUAACUUGAUUCAAUAUCGAUUAGAAUCGAUUGCUUAGUAGUAACGUAGACUGUUUCUAACACAAAAACUCAUGAAAACUUAAAAAUAAUUAUUACAUACGACAAACUUGGUCCACGUAACAAAUCCAACUCCCCUAAAUUUAACCACUCCCAACUACUACUUGGUCCACGUAACGUAAUAAAUAUAAAUUCGACCCCCCAUAUUAAUAAUAAUAAUAAUAUAUUUUUACCCCCCAUUAACAAAAAAAUUAACCCAUUUGUUAAGUAAAAUGAGUAAAAUUACAACAUGGCCCCCCAGCUUUGUCCAACUACUAUACUACUACUGAUCUCUCUAAUCAAAGCUACAAGUUAACCCACCACCAGUUUCCUCUUAUUCUUCAGUAACCUGUUGGGAACUCACACUUCCCAUACCCUGCAUUGCCAACAAAAAACUCACUAAGAUUACAGCAGUAAAAACUAAUGUAGUGAAAGAUAUUUACUGCAGUCAAAACAGUCAUAAACAUGGUUGAUUAAGAGUAGAGUUACGUUGUUCAGGAACCAUUGGUCAAGCUUGACUUGUUGCUUUUUAGACGAUUUCGAGCCUAUUCUAAACCUAACUCGUUAACUAGGCUAGACGAGCCAAAACACGAGCUCAACUCAAAUUUCGCUCAUUGAAAAUUCCGUAUGAGUUCAAUUUGAGUUGAAGUUUAUACACUAUAAAAAAUCGAUCAUUCAUUCCUAUUAUGAAUCUAGGAUUAGAUUUGACAUUCCUACAAAGUUGAGGAUAUCUAUGGUAAUUAAAUUCAACUUCAGGCCUAGUUCCUAAAUUAUCCCCUUAUAACAAAUUUAAACCUAAAUAUUCUCAACAUUUACUAUCAUACCACGUGACGCCGUACUACUUUUGACCUUCCCUCUGACCUAGCGUGCGCCACUUUGUCCUACUGACCCCACACACUUUCACCAAUUUACCAUUUCAUACCCUCGGCGCAUUUUAACAGAAACAGAAAUGAAAAAUACUGAAAAGAGUUCUAGAAUACGCACUUGGCGGCUCAGUGACAACUUGUGCCGCGCCUCCGAAAUAGCAGGACCCGCCACGGCGCCCGGUCUCCUGGUAGUANNNN
rnacentral:lncRNA from 1 species